rnacentral:ncRNA from 2 species
UGCUGACCCAUGGAUAUUGGUUCCUUUGCGUCCUGUUUGGACGCGGGGUGAAAAGGGAACACGGUGCGGCGAGGCUGGAAUGCCUAUGCCAAAUCCGUGGCUGCCCCCGCAACUGUGAGCAGUGAGUCGGCACCGAUUUCACGCCACUGGCCCAAGAUCGCGGGCCGGGAAGGCAACGGCGCCGACAGUGACCUGCGAGCCAGGAGACCUGCCAAUGUCGCUCGCAACAA